UUUUAGUAGAGAUGGGGUUUCACCAUGUUGGCCAGGCUGGCCUCCAUCGAACUUCUGGCCUCAAGAAAUCCACCCACCUUGGGCUCCCAAAGUGCUGGGAUUAUAAGUGCCCGGCCUCCUUCACAAUGUUGGAGUGGAGUGCAGCAGCAAAGGCUUUGCCUUAACACCAUGCUCACUGGUGUGGCAGAGAUCAGACUCGCAUCACAAAGCCCAGCUCUGUCACACGACGUUGAUGUAACUAUUAGAAGAGGUGGGAGAUAUUCAUGCCCCUUUUCUGGGCCAUAAAAUGGGAACUUCUCGAGGCAGGCAUAGAGAUUAAAUGAGAACAAGGCCUGGCCCAGCAGAGUUGCGCAAUACGGAUGAGUUUUCUCCUUUCCUUCCCUUCUGCCAGCAAGUCUGACUGCAUGCUCAGCCUGAGCUGAGCUUAUCUGUGGCUUCCAUCAAGGCCUUGCCCUUCCUCCCCCAUGGUUUUGCCCAGGGCCACCUGUACUUGAGAGGGAAAGGCGAGGCAUUUCUCCAGCAAUUACAGCUUCUCAUGGCUGAGCCCUUCAGGCCAUUAAAAUGACAACCUAUUCUUGCUGAACCUAAUUCUUUGCUGAAUCCUUUGCCCUGACAUGAGAGAUGUGUUACCAGGUUAAGUAGGAAGGUAAUUACUAUAAGGUAAGUAUCAAAAAGGAAAUGAAUUCUCACUGAGCAAGGAACUCAGCAGGCUCCUGAAGCCAGCCAAGUCUGUGCCGGAGCCUGUGCGCAGGAGACUUGCAUCAGUCAGAGAUCACGUACCCUCUAGGCACGGCCAUAGCCCGCAGCUGGCUGGAAUGACGAAUGCUCCUUUUUGUUUGUUUGUUUUUUGAAGGAUGGAGGACAUCUUGGGGCCUGGUCCUGACACUCUGCCUGCAUUCCUGCCACAAGGACGGCCUCUGGCCGCUCUGUGGGGUUUCUUCCACCAUACUACAAGCCCGCUGAGGUCAGAAGCCUUGCUGCCCCAACCCCCCAGCCCUAACAUGAUGCCUGGCACAUAGUCGGUGCUUGAAUGAAAGCCAAUGUUGAAGUGUCAGCAUCUCAGAAGAUGACAAAUCAGAUACAUCAUCCACAAGGCCUGCUUCAGAAUAGUCCCCGGUCACAAAUGCUCUGGAUGCAUCUCGGCCUGAAAGAGAGAACUUUCCAUCAGAUCCAGUUGUAAAUGACUGACACUGUCCCCACUCAAGAAUCUAUUUUCUUUCUUUUCUUUU